rnacentral:lncRNA from 1 species
AUGUACAUACGUACAUAUGUACAUACGUUGCUGAUGGCACCGAGCGACGUCGCAGUGUGCGAAUAACGGUCCGAAAAUACUACGUUGAGCAAUUUUUUAGUAUUAUUUUUGUCGCGUGUAAAGUCGGUUGUUUUGUGAUUGGUAAAAUCGAAAUACUGAGUGAUGUUGAAACAGAGGACAAAACGCAAGACGACGGCCUGUUAAGAUUAUUAACAGAUUUUAAUUUGCCUGAUGUGCUUCCUUAUUUAAACGCUGCGCAUGGGACUUUGGAAAGUUUACAGUACAUGAGGAAGGAAGACUUGAAAGAAGCCAUACCACCUCUUGGCCUUCGGAUGGAAUCCCGGAGAAGCUCUUUAUGUGGAAAAAACGAGAGUUUGGAAUAGACGAUGAUAUAAUUUCCGUGCCAUCUAAUGUGGGUGCUUGGCUAGAAACGGCAACAGAAAAUACAAAGCAAAUCCUAAAAAAGGAUUUGACAACUUAGCUUAAGGAUUCUGGGCGAGGCCGAGCUCUUCUUAUGUCUGAUACAAAAAUAAAACACUUACAAAUGCAUAAAGGGAGGAUAUCAUUAAUAUUGUAGUGGAAGAGGUUAUUUCAAAGAAUAUUAAUCUAAAAGUGCAGGACUUUCCUUGCAUAGUGGACGAAGUAUGCUCCAUACUCCCCAGUGAAGUUAAUAUGCAGAUUGAAAUUGAUUUUCAGUUCAUGUAUCCUGAGAAAACACAUUUAAUCCUUGCUAAGUGGGAAACUUUUAAAGCAAAAAUUAUUAAUUACUAUGAGAAAAACAUAAGCAACGAAUAUUGUAAGCAAAUACUUUCUACAGUUAAAUCGUUAAAUAAUAAAGAUGUCCAGGACUAUUUAAUUACAAUUCUUCUAAAUGCUGUAUUACCUUCCGGCGCCAGAUUCAAAAGCGAAAGCGGUAAAAAACUAAGAAAGUAACUAUAGUUGAUUCUCAGGAAAGUUUGGUUUUGCGGUUCCCAACUUUGAAUGAUUACCAACGGCAGGUCUAUGCCAUAAUUAACCAAUACUACUCUGCAGGGUUAACCGUACAACCUUUUUCGAUUGUCGAAGGGCUGUCAGAUACAAAUAUAAGCGGUUUCUUUGUGUACUUUGAUAAUAAUUUGCUUAAGUUUAAUUCGUUCAUUCAAAGCAUAGAUAUUUGUUUUAAACUAUUUCAAAUAAUGAAUCUUAAAUAUCCAGAAGCUUGUCAGGACUCCUGGCUUUUUAUUCAAAUAUUUUUUUUUCAAAUUGAAACUUCAAGUCGUCAAAUAUUACAUCACUUGUAAGCUUUUUGAACACUGAUUAGAAAAUAACGGAAAGAUGUAUACUUGUUUUCGUUGUUUAAAAAUCUUUGCAGCACCUGCAAUUUUGAUAGUUCAUUUUAAAAAAGAUCAUUUAUUAACACGAAAACUGUUAAAAAUAUAAUGCAUUCAAAACAACUGUAAUCAAACUUUUACUAAUUUUUCUUGUUUUCGCAUACAUUUGGAAAAUAAAUAAAACGGAUAACGAUGAUGGUUUUGGCGACCACUUUAUUUCUUAAUUGUUAAUUCUGCCGGCUCGAGGUCAAAUGGUUUUAGAAAAUUUUUUUGAAUUAAAACACAGGAUUUUAGUUUUUUUUCGAUAUAUUUCGGUUACGCUUCAGUAACCGUCCUCAGGGCAACUAUUGACAAUCAUGUAAAACAUAAACAUAUACAUACAUAAAUACAAAUUUCAAAACAAUAAUUAAACACAAAAUGCAUACAUACAUUAAUUUACACGUCUGCACUGUUUGACGUGGAGUUUGGUUUGGAGUACAGUACCAUAAUGAAAAUGCUUUUGUACUUUGUCAACAAGUAGAGGUAAAAACAUUUGAGUCAUUUAAGAUCAUAUGAGAUAGGUUGUUUAGUUGAUAAAAUGUAUUUAAGACCUAUUGAAGAAUUUACAAGUCCACCUUUACAUAUAUAUCCUACAAAUAAUGGAAAAUCAUAUUUAAGAAUGAAAUAUCUGUAAGGUUAUAAUAAUAAAAAGUCCUAGAAAUUUUUCGAGAACGUGAUUUCGUAGGCCAUCGAAUGUCUGAAUAACAAUAUUAAUUUAUGUACACUGGCAAUCAAAAGUGAGUGCAUGGUGUUUUUAGUUUAAUAUU